CACAGAGGAUGCAAGCGUUAUCCGGAAUGAUUGGGCGUAAAGCGUCUGUAGGUGGCUUUUUAAGUCCGCCGUCAAAUCCCAGGGCUCAACCCUGGACAGGCGGUAGAAACUACCCAAGCUGGAGUACGGUAGGGGCAGAGGGAAUUUCCAGUGGAGCGGUGAAAUGCGUUGAUAUUGGAAGGAACGCCGGUGGCGAAGCGAACUGCUGGACCUCUUCUGACACUGAUGCGCGAAAGCUAGGGGAGCAAACGGG
rnacentral:rRNA from 1 species